GUUAUGCCCAUGUAGUGUGUUCGUGGAAGCUUCCGAUUUUUUUCGAUUUUUAACGCUAAACUUGUCUGAAGGAAGGCGUAGUCGAAAGCUAAUAAUCUGCGUCUUGUGAAACCGACUUCGUGUAUUCGUGUAAAGUUAUUUUCUUUUGCUGUUUGCUAGUGCUGCUAACCUGUAUUGAUAAAAAAAUCUAAUGCCGGUAAUGGGAGCAACAACAGAUUUUAACACAACCUUCUCCGAAUUCUUAUGAUGACCAUAGUG